rnacentral:rRNA from 1 species
UGUCUCAAAGAUUAAGCCAUGCAUGUCUAAGUAUAAGCAAUCUAUACGGUGAAACUGCGAAUGGCUCAUUAAAUCAGUUAUCGUUUAUUUGAUAGUACCUUACUACAUGGAUAACCGUGGUAAUUCUAGAGCUAAUACAUGCUAAAAACCCCGACUUCGGAAGGGGUGUAUUUAUUAGAUAAAAAACCAGCGCCCUUCGGGGCUCCUUGGUGAUUCAUGAUAACUCAACGAAUCGCAUGGCCUUGCGCCGGCGAUGGUUCAUUCAAAUUUCUGCCCUAUCAACUUUCGAUGGUAGGAUAGUGGCCUACCAUGGUAUCAACGGGUAACGGGGAAUUAGGGUUCUAUUCCGGAGAGGGAGCCUGAGAAACGGCUACCACAUCCAAGGAAGGCAGCAGGCGCGCAAAUUACCCAAUCCCGACACGGGGAGGUAGUGACAAUAAAUACUGAUACAGGGCUCUUUCGGGUCUUGUAAUUGGAAUGAGUACAAUUUAAAUCCCUUAACGAGGAACAAUUGGAGGGCAAGUCUGGUGCCAGCAGCCGCGGUAAUUCCAGCUCCAAUAGCGUAUAUUAAAGUUGUUGCAGUUAAAAAGCUCGUAGUUGAACCUUGGGCCUGGCUGGCCGGUCCGCCUCACCGCGUGUACUGGUCCGGCCGGGCCUUUCCUUCUGGGGAGCCGCAUGCCCUUCACUGGGCGUGCCGGGGAACCAGGACUUUUACUUUGAAAAAAUUAGAGUGUUCAAAGCAGGCCUUUGCUCGAAUACAUUAGCAUGGAAUAAUAGAAUAGGACGG